AAACGACUCUCGGCAACGGAUAUCUCGGCUCACGCAUCGAUGAAGAACGUAGCAAAAUGCGAUACUUGGUGUGAAUUGCAGAAUCCCGUGAACCAUCGAGUUUUUGAACGCAAGUUGCGCCAGAAGCCAUUUGGUUGAGGGCACGUCUGCCUGGGCGUCACGC
rnacentral:rRNA from 1 species